GUUGAUACACCGGUUCUCGUACGAUCAACAAAAGUUAAGCAACGUUGAACCUCGUCAGUACCUAGAUGGGAGACCGCUUGGUAAUACCAGAUGCUGUAAG